UGGCUCAGUGGUAGAGCGCUUGCCUUGCAUGCAUGAGGCCCUGGGUUUGAUCCCUCAG
rnacentral:tRNA from 1 species